UACUGAGUGUUUGAAACACCA
rnacentral:snRNA from 1 species